AGCUUUGCACAGUGGCAGUGUUGUAGCCAAUGAGGUUUAUCUGAGGUGUGAUUAUUGCUAAUUGAAAACUAUCAAGAAUAUA
rnacentral:snRNA from 1 species